rnacentral:rRNA from 1 species
UAUUGCACAAUGGGGGAAACCCUGAUGCAGCGACGCCGCGUGAGUGAAGAAGUAUUUCGGUAUGUAAAGCUCUAUCAGCAGGGAAGAAAAUGACGGUACCUGAUUAAGAAGCCCCGGCUAACUACGUGCCAGCAGCCGCGGUAAUACGUAGGGGGCAAGCGUUAUCCGGAUUUACUGGGUGUAAAGGGAGCGCAGGCGGUCUGGCAAGUCUGAUGUGAAAGGCCGGGGCUCAACCCCGGGACUGCAUUGGAAACUGUCAGACUGGAGUGUCGGAGAGGUAAGCGGAAUUCCUAGUGUAGCGGUGAAAUGCGUAGAUAUUAGGAGGAACACCAGUGGCGAAGGCGGCUUACUGGACGAUGACUGACGCUGAGGCUCGAAAGCGUGGGGAGCAAACAGG